rnacentral:rRNA from 1 species
AGAGCGAACGCUGGCGGCAGGCCUAACACAUGCAAGUCGAGCGCCCGUAGCAAUACGGGAGCGGCAGACGGGAGAGUAACACGUGGGAACGCGCCCUUCGGUUCGGAAUAACUCAGGGAAACUUGAGCUAAUACCGGAUACGCCCUUACGGGGAAAGAUUUAUUGCCGAAGGAACGGCCCGCGUCCGAUUAGCUAGUUGGUGAGGUAAUGGCUCACCAAGGCUCCGAUCGGUAGCUGGUCUGAGAGGAUGACCAGCAUCACUGGGACUGAGACACGGCCCAGACUCCUACGGGAGGCAGCAGUGGGGAAUAUUGGACAAUGGGCGGAAGCCUGAUCCAGCCAUGCCGCGUGGAUGAUGAAGGCCUUAGGGUUGUAAAGUCCUUUAACGGGGAAGAUAAUGACGGUACCGUAGAAUAAGCCCGGCUAACUUCGCGCCAGCAGCCGC